UGAACAUCUGCUAGCCCUGUAUUGACACAGGAAUAAAUUAUUCAGCUUGUAGUAUUUGGGAAUUUAAAGGCUCCAUGAUGAAUUCUACAAAACUAUAUUAUGUCUCUGACAUUCUGGGGGUUUCAUUAUUUUGUCUUCAAUUAUUCACAAAGGCUCUUCACCUCUCGCAGCUUAUGUGGAAUACUUGAGAUCAAGGGAGCCCAGGGCUGAGGAGAUGGAAGGCAUUUUAUUAAGACAUCAUUUUCUGGGGGUUGUUUUUCCUUUCAGACAGCACAAAACCCUUUUCCCCUCGCCCCCUCUAAACUGAGAGGAAACCCCAUGGUCCGCAGCCUCUCGGUGACGGUCGCCCCGCUUCCUCCCCAGUAGCCUGCGUUAGAUUUGGAGAUCCAGACUGGCCGUGAUUCUGGGGCCCGAAGCGCUGAGCCUGCACCUUGGUGGCCGCUCUGACCUCGGUUUUCCUAUUUGUAAAAUGAGCACUGACACUUGUGCUGGCCCAGCUCAGGGGGUGUUCUGAGGCUCAAGGGAGAGUGGGCGGAGCACUAUGGAGUCAAGUGAGCGGAGCACUAUGGAGUCAAGCGCUGCUCCCUCGGGAUGUGACUGGGCCGGUGGGAGAGCUUGGGAUGGGGCCUGACCCCCGAUGGAAAGGACCCAGCACUUAGGACGCCAGAACUGGAAGGAAUGGCAGGGUUACUCUGAGCGUGUGAGUGUGUCUGUGUGUAUGAGGGUGUGUGUAAGGGUGUGAGUGUCUGUGUGUAUGAGUGUGUGUAAGGGCGUGAGUGUGUCUGUGUGUAUGAGGGUGUGUGUAAGGGCGUGAGUGUGUCUGUGUGUAUGAGUGUGUGUGUAAGGGCGUGAGUGUGUAUGAGUGUGUGUGUAAGGGCGUGAGUGUGUCUGUGUGUAUGAAGGUGUGUAAGGGCGUGAGUAUGUCUGUGUGUAUGAGGCUGUGUGUAAGGGCGUGAGUGUGUCUGUGUGUAUGAAGGUGUGUGUAAGGGCGUGAGUGUGUCUGUGUGUAUGAGGGUGUGUGUAAGGGCGUGAGUGUGUCUGUGUGUAUGAGGGUGUGUGUAAGGGCGUGAGUGUGUCUGUGUGUAUGAGGGUGUGUGUAAGGGCGUGAGUGUGUCUGUGUGUAUGAGGGUGUGUGUAAGGGCGUGAGUGUGUCUGUGUGUAUGAGUGUGUGUGUAAGGGCGUGAGUGUGUUUGUGUGUAUGAAGGUGUGUGUAAGGGCGUGAGUGUGUCUGUGUGUAUGAGGGUGUGUGUAAGGGUGUGAAUUUGUCUCUGUGUAUGAGUGUGUGUGUGAGUGUGUC